GAGAUAGUAGUGAAAAGCCCACAGUAAAGUGUAGCGACAGCGAAACUUUGCGAGGACUUGUAACGGAUAGCCCGACCUUUG
rnacentral:misc_RNA from 1 species